AAUUUUAUUCAUAAUGACCAAGAC
rnacentral:siRNA from 1 species